UACAGAGGGCGCGAGCGUUGUCCGGAAUCACUGGGCGUAAAGGGCGCGUAGGUGGCGAGAUGAAGGUACUGGUGGUGAAAGUUCGGGGCUCAACCCUGAAUCGGCCGUGGCAACUGUUUCGCUAGGGCACCGUAGAGGCAGAGUGGAAUUCCAGGUGUAGCGGUGAAAUGCGUAGAUAUCUGGAGGAACACCGGUGGCGAAGGCGGCAUCCUGGACCAACACGUGACGCUGAGUGAGCGAAGCCAGG
rnacentral:rRNA from 1 species